rnacentral:lncRNA from 1 species
CUGCCUUUGCAGCCUGAACUGUGUUUGUUGUUAUUUCUGGCAGGACUAAAGCCAUAGGGGCUUUAGAUGAGAGCAUUUAUGAUGUGCCAGAACAAGAAGGAGCUCCCAGGCUUCAGGUGUGGCCAACAACCUUCAGCUGCUAAAAUACAAAAUGCUGGAGAAGAAGGAGCAUUCCCUCCCAAAGGCCAAGAGGAAGCACCUGUGCCAGAGCCUUCCUGGGAGGUAGAGCUCCUGGGGGUUACAAGGACUUUCCUGACACCCCAGGCCCUUCCCCUACCUUUGCAUUGAUUCAUGGCUUCACUGGUGGGUGGGGUGAGUUGCAUUCUGAUGAAUCCGUUAAAUAUUGAUAGUAAGGCCGUGCAAAAUAUGACUUAGUGUGGAGUUGUAGUUCAGCAAUGGCAAUUUUGGACUCUUCCAACUGCAAAUGGAAUUAAUUGAGAUUGAACAGCAGGAGCUGCAGGCUCUUAUAGAAAUGACCAAUUCUUCUCCAGCUGUUUUUGCAUCCAUGUAAUGCCACAGAUUAAUGGAGAUAAUCUGGGUCAUACCUAUGCCAAUCUCACGACUUUGAUGGCAUCACACCACUGCAUGAGGAGAUUACAGGAAAAGAAUCAGGCUCAGAGGACUCAGAGAUUAUACAAACAUGCCUUGUGUUAAUCCUAAAUCCAUACUGCUAGUUGAAUCCCUAUGGAAAAGGGAAACCUUAAAAACUCAGCAGGUGGAGAGUAUCUGACAUAAUAACAUGCCCUGGCUGACAGGAACCCCAGCACCUCCAAGGAGUGGAAGAAGGGGCAAAUCCCAGAGCAGCGAGGAAGGCUUUGUGGGCUGCAAACCAACACUAACGUGGCUGAGUACUGGAGUGGGAUCAUCUGACAACAUCUGGGUGAUGGAAGGAAUCAGAACAAGUGAAAAUACAGCAAGAAGAGAGCACAGGAGGUUCCUGGCUCACAAGAGGGAUGUGCUCCCAGGAAGCAAAGCCAAUGGCACAGUCAGACCCAGACACAGCUGAGGAGAAGAGAAGCCUUUGGAGCAGCCCAGGUGUGGCUUUUUACAUCAAAAUCAGAACCCAAGAGAAACCCACCCCCAGCUAAGGCACUGCAAGCUCCUGUUUCUGUGUUGCCCCUGCAACAGCAAAGCAAGAAGGUAAGUCAGUGUUCCCCCAAGGAAAAGUGAUGGCAGAGGAACAAAACAUGGGCCAUAUCAUGGUAACGUGUUCUCCUUCCUGGUGGGAUAAGGGCUGCCAUUGAUGUAUUUCACUGCUUUCUGCAGCAGGGUGCUUUGGUGAGCACAUGCUGCUGUCCUGUGUGGGGCAAGCAAGUUUUGGGUGCAUCCAGAUGCUGGUGGCCCCACCAUCCUGGCUUCUCUCGUACUUGAAGCCUGGCUGGUGUAGCUAAUGGACACA